GUGGGAUGAACCAAACGCCGGGUUAAGGGGCCCGAUGCGAGACGCUCAUGAGAUCCCAUGAAAGGUGUUGGUUGCUAUAGACAGCAGGACGGUGGCCAUGGAAGUCGGAAUCCGCUAAGGAGUGUGUAACAACUCACCUGCCGAAGCAACUAGCCCUGAAAAUGGAUGGCGCUUCAGCGUCGACCCCAUACCCGGCCGCCGCGGCCGAAAAGCCUCGUGUUUUAAGCCGCGGUGAGUAGGAGGGGCGCGGAGGCGAGCGUCGAAGGUGCCGGGCGUAAGCCCGCCUGGAGCCGCCUCCGGCGCAGAUCUUGGUGGUAGUAGCAAAUACUCAAGUGAGAACCUUGAGGACUGAGGUGGAGAAGGGUUCCAUGUGAACAGCAGUUGAACAUGGGUCAGUCGGUCCUAAGGGAUAGGAGAAAUCCGUUCCGAGGCGGGACCUAAUUUAUUAUGAAAGUCCCGCUGAUGACCGAAAGGGAAUCGGGUUAAUAUUCCCGAACCCGGACGCGGAGAUCGUCCUCUUCGGAGGUACAUUGCGGUAACGCAAACGAGCUCGGAGACGUCGACGGGAGCACCGGGAAGAGUUAUCUUUUCUUUGUAAGGAUUCGACUCCCUGGAAUCGGCUCGCCCGGAGAUAGGGAUGGUGUUUCCGUAAAGCACCGCGCCUCUUGCGGUGUCCGGAUCGCUCCCGUCGGCCCUUGAAAAUCCGAGUGAGAGAUAGUGAUUUUCGUGCCGGACCGUACCCAUAUCCGCAGCAGGUCU
rnacentral:rRNA from 1 species